UCCUAAAGAGUAACGGAGGCGCUCAAAGUUUCCCUCAGCAUGGUUGGAAAUCAUGCGUAGAGUGUAAAGGUAUAAGGGAGAUUGACUGCGAGACAUACAAGUCGAGCAGGUACGAAAGUAGGACUUAGUGAUCCGGUGGUACCGCAUGGAAGGGCCAUCGCUCAACGGAUCUGCCAGUUGUCAUAUGCUUGUCUAAAAGAUUAAGCCAUGCAAGUGUAAGUAUAAAUAGAGAAAAGACUAUGAGACUGCGAAUGGCUCAUUAAAUCAGCAAUAAUUUAUUCGGUGGAUGAAGUAAUUCUGAGAUGGAUAACCGUGGUAAAGCUAGAGCUAAUACAUGCAGAAGAGAGUUCACGGGAAGUGAAGGUAUAUAUUAGAUACAAAACCAAAGAGAGAGGGGAGUGAUAAUAUUUGGAACAGAUCACGAGGGAGUGACGAGCCGAUCAAAUUUCUGCCCUAUCAACUUUGGACGGUAGUAUAGAGGAC
rnacentral:rRNA from 1 species